rnacentral:lncRNA from 1 species
AUUCUCAAUAAAAUUCUGAGAAAUUGCAUACAAAAACAUAUUUUAAAAAAUAAUGCACCAUGAUCAAGUAGGGUUCAUUCCAGGGAUGUAAGGAUGAUUCAACAUACUGAAAUCAAUAAAUGUAAUUCAUCACAUCAAUAGAAUUAAAGAUAAGAAUCAUAUGAUUAUAUCAAUUGAUGCAGAGAAAGCAUUUGAAAAAACACAGCACCCUAUCAUGUUCAAAACAGUAGAAAAACUAGGUAUAGUCAGAGCACACCUUGUAAUAUCUAUCUAUUCUAAACCCAAGUCCAACAUCAUUCUAAAUGGAGAAAAAUGGGAAGGAUUCCCUCUAAAAACCAGAACAAGACAGGGAUACCCUCUUUUACCACUUCUAUUGGACAUAGUCCUUAAAACUCUGGGACUAGCCAGAGCAAUUAGAAAGAAGAAAGAAAUUAAAGGGAUACAAACAGGUAACAAACAACUCAAAGUAUCAUUAUGAUAUGAUUCUAUACUUAGAGGAUCCAAAAAACUCCACCAUAAAACUUCUAAAAUUAAUAAAUGAAUUCAGCAAAGUGAAAGAAUAUAAAAUCAAUAUCCAUAAAUCAAAUGCAUUAUGUCACAUCAGUGAUUAAUUCUCUGAAAGAGAAAUUAGAAAAAAUAUCCGAUUCCCAAUAACCUCAAAAAAAAAUGGGAAUCAACUUAACAAAAGAGGUGAAAGACCUCUAAAAUGAAAACUACAGAACACUAAAGAAGGAAAUUGAAGAAGACCAUAGAAGAUGGAAAGAUCUCCCAUGCUCUUGGAUAGGCAAAAUUAAUAUUGUCAAAAUGGCCACACUUCCCCAUGUGCUGAUACAGAUUCAAUGAAAUUCCAAUUAAAUUCCCAAGGUCACCCUUUAUAAAAAUAGAAAAAGCAAUCAUAAAAUUCAUUUGGAAAAAUAAGAGACCCAGAAUAGCCAAAGCAAUUCUUAGCAACAAGAGUGAAUUAGGAGGCAUCACCAUACCAGAUCUUAAUCUAUACUAUGAAGCUAUAGUAACAACAAAGGCAUGGUAUUGGCACCAAAAUAGACUAGUAGAUCAAUGGUACAGAAUAAAAGACACAGAGACAAACCCACAUAGAUACAGUUGUCUCAUACUAGACAAAGGCACCAAAAACAUAAAUUGAAGAAAAGAUAUCCUCUUUAACAAAUGGUGCUGGGAAAAUUGGAAAUACAUAUAUAGCAAAAUGAAACUAAACCCCUAUCUGUCACCAUGGAGAAAACUAAAAGUGGAUCGAGAACCUGGGAAUUAGGUCAGACACCCUGUGCCUAAUAGAGAAAACAGUAGGCCCAAAUCUUCA